rnacentral:rRNA from 1 species
GUCUACAGCCAUGCCACUCUGAACAAGCCCAGCUCUAUCUGAUCUUGGAAGCUAAGCAGGGUCGAGCCCGGUUAGUACUUGGAUGGGAGACCACCUAGGAAGACCAGAUGCUAUAGGCG